rnacentral:rRNA from 1 species
CCCUUAGAGUUUGAUCAUGGCUCAGGAUGAAUGCUAGCGGCGUGCUUGAGAUAUGCAAGUCGAGCGCCCCAAUUUGCCGCAAGGUGAGUUGGGAGCGGCGGACGGCUGAGUAAUAUACAGGAACCUGCCCCUAAGUAGAGGAUAGUCCAGCGAAAGUUGGAGUAAUACUUUAUGGUUUCGCCCUCUGGGCGAAUAAAGAGCUUAACCGCUCGCUAAGGGAUGGGCCUGUAUCCUAUCAGGUAGUUGGUAAGGUAAUGGCUUACCAAGCCUAUGACGGGUAGCUGAUCUUAGAGGAUGAUCAGCCAGAGGGGGACUGAGACACGGCCCCCACUCCUACGGGAGGCAGCAAUCAGGAAUAGUCGGCAAUGGACGAAAGUCUGACCGCGCGACGCCGCGUGUAGGAUUAAGCUAUUAUUUAGUGUAAACUACUGUGGCAGGGGAAGAAGUCCCAUCGUAAGAUGGGGUUGACGGUACCCUGCUAGAAAGGAGCCGCUAACUGCGUGCCAGAAGCGUCGGUAAUACGUGGGCUCCAAGCAUUAUCCGGUUUUAUUGGGCGUAAAGGGUCGUGUAGGCGGUUUGACAAGUUAUCUUUGAAAUUCCAAUGCUUAACAUUGGAAUUGGAGAUAAUACUGUUAAACUAGAGUUUUCUUUAGGGGGAUUGGAACUCAAGGAGGAGUAGUGAAAUGCGUUGAUACCUUGGGGAACACCGAUGGCGAAGGCAAGUCCCUGGGAGAAAACUGACGCUGAGACACGAAAGCUAGGGGAGCGAAGCAGAUUAGAGACCUGCGUAGUCCUAGCCCUAAACGAAUGUCUGCUACCUGCAUGAUUUCGUAUUUAUACGAUUUCGUGUGGGAAAGGUAACCCGUUAAGCAGACCGCCUGGGGAGUACGACCGCANGGUUAAAACUCAAAGGAAUUGGCGGG